CGGCAAAACGCUUCUAUACUGCAGUCGAGCGGACAGAUGGGAGCUUGCUCCCUGAUGUUAGCGGCGGACGGGUGAGUAACACGUGGGUAACCUGCCUGUAAGACUGGGAUAACUCCGGGAAACCGGGGCUAAUACCGGAUGGUUGUUUGAACCGCAUGGUUCAAACAUAAAAGGUGGCUUCGGCUACCACUUACAGAUGGACCCGCGGCGCAUUAGCUAGUUGGUGAGGUAACGGCUCACCAAGGCAACGAUGCGUAGCCGACCUGAGAGGGUGAUCGGCCACACUGGGACUGAGACACGGCCCAGACUCCUACGGGAGGCAGCAGUAGGGAAUCUUCCGCAAUGGACGAAAGUCUGACGGAGCAACGCCGCGUGAGUGAUGAAGGUUUUCGGAUCGUAAAGCUCUGUUGUUAGGGAAGAACAAGUACCGUUCGAAUAGGGCGGUACCUUGACGGUACCUAACCAGAAAGCCACGGCUAACUACGUGCCAGCAGCCGCGGUAAUACGUAGGUGGCAAGCGUUGUCCGGAAUUAUUGGGCGUAAAGGGCUCGCAGGCGGUUUCUUAAGUCUGAUGUGAAAGCCCCCGGCUCAACCGGGGAGGGUCAUUGGAAACUGGGGAACUUGAGUGCAGAAGAGGAGAGUGGAAUUCCACGUGUAGCGGUGAAAUGCGUAGAGAUGUGGAGGAACACCAGUGGCGAAGGCGACUCUCUGGUCUGUAACUGACGCUGAGGAGCGAAAGCGUGGGGGAGCGAACAGGAUUAGAUACCCUGGUAGUCCACGCCGUAACGAUGAGUGCUAAGUGUUAGGGGGUUUCCGCCCCUUAGUGCUGCAGCUAACGCAUUAAGCACUCCGCCUGGGGAGUACGGUCGCAAGACUGAAACUCAUGGGAGUUGACGGGGGGCCCGCACAAGCGGUGGAGCAUGUGUUUAAUUCGAAGCACGCGAAGAAUCUUACCAGGUCUUGACUUCCUCUGACAUCCUAAAAAUAGACGUCCCCUUUCGGGGCGAAUGACAAAGAGGAGCAUGAUGUCAUCAGCUCGUGUCGUGAGAUGUUGGGUUAAGUCCCGCAACGAGCGCAACCCUUGAUCUUAGUUGCCAGCAUUCAGUUGGGCACUCUAAGGUGACUGCCGGUGACAAACCGGAGGAAGGUGGGGAUGACGUCAAAUCAUCAUGCCCCUUAUGACCUGGGCUACACACGUGCUACAAUGGACAGAACAAAGGGCAGCGAAACCGCGAGGUUAAGCCAAUCCCACAAAUCUGUUCUCAGUUCGGAUCGCAGUCUGCAACUCGACUGCGUGAAGCUGGAAUCGCUAGUAAUCGCGGAUCAGCAUGCCGCGGUGAAUACGUUCCCGGGCCUUGUACACACCGCCCGUCACACCACGAGAGUUUGUAACACCCGAAGUCGGUGAGGAAACUAGGGCCCUU
rnacentral:rRNA from 1 species